rnacentral:rRNA from 1 species
UACGUAGGGUGCAAGCAUUAAUCGGAAUUAUUGGGCGUAAAGGGCGCGUAGGCGGACUUGUAAGUCAGAUGUGAAAUUCCGGGGCUCAACCUCGGAGCUGCAUUUGAAACUGUGAGUCUAGAGGGUUGACGGAGAAAACGGAAUUCCACGUGUAGCGGUGAAAUGCGUAGAUAUGUGGAAGAACACCAGUGGCGAAAGCGGUUUUCUAGUUAAUACCUGACGCUGAGGCGCGAGAGCAAGGGGAGCAAACAGG